UGAGAUGGGCCUUAGCCUGUGCCGCUGCUUUCAACCUUGUCUCUGCACAACAGCCUUCUGUCUGUUUCUGGCUCUGCCCUAGGCCCUGAACUCUCAUCCAGCUUGUACCUGUCUGCUUGUACCUGGCCCCUCCACCUGGAGGCCAGCCCUCGUCUCAGCCUCAGCCUUACCCUCCUCUCCUCAAACACGAAGUGUUUCCUCUUAGGUUUCCCUGGCUUUGUGAAUGGAUCACGUGUCUCUAGGUAUAAACCUGUUGUCAUCUUUCUGCCCGCCUCACCUCCGACAGAUCUCCCCAGUACUGUCUCCAUCUUCCACCUGCAGCUACUCCGUUCUCAUUGUCACUGCCACAUCACUCAAGUCCAGACCCUUGUCAUCAUUUUCAAACCAGCCUCCUUCCCUUGUCCCCGCCUUCUUAAAGCCACCUGUCCAUUGCCACCAGAUUAAGCUUUCUCCAGCCAGAUCACCUCUCUUUGAGAAAUCUCCAUUGAAAUGGAAACACCUUCGCCUGGCACACAUACUCACCUCUUUAUCCCCACGUAUCUUUCCCCCUCCCCCUCCCCCUCCCCCUCCCCCUCCCCUCCCCUCCUUCCCCUUCUAAAUUCAGCCCAGUGGGGCUUCUCCUGCCUCCAUCACAUCACAGAAGUACCUCCUGCUUCUGGUUUCAAUUAGAGCCUUCCUGGAUUGCCUUUUCCUCUGAACUUUUUCCUAUCUACAAUUUGAUCUAUUGUUUUUAAACCCCUUACUUCUGAGGUACCUUCUCUAAUCUCUUAUUCUCAUCCCCAAAUAGUGUUUUCUUCCUCUGGGUUCUUGUAAUGUUAACAAUCUCACAGCAUUUAGUGCUUUUUGGCUGGUGUGACUUUUACUUGUGUGCAUGUGCAAUUUCUAAUUUCCCACGCUAGACUGUGAGCUUCCUAAGGCAAGAAUCAUGCCGUGUUUGUUUGUGUAUUCCUCAUGGCGCCAAACAGUGCCUUGUACAUUGAAGGCGCUAAAUAAACAUUUUUAAAGCAAAGUGAUGUGGAUUUUUAAAAUAAAUAUUUAAGUGCUGUAAGAUGA